rnacentral:rRNA from 1 species
AUUGAACGCUGGCGGCAGGCUUAACACAUGCAAGUCGAGCGGGGUGAUGGUGCUUGCACUAUCACUUAGCGGCGGACGGGUGAGUAAUGCUUAGGAAUCUGCCUAUUAGUGGGGGACAACAUCUCGAAAGGGAUGCCAAUACCGCAUACGUCCUACGGGAGAAAGCAGGGGAUCACUUGUGACCUUGCGCUAAUAGAUGAGCCUAAGUCGGAUUAGCUAGUUGGUGGGGUAAAGGCCUACCAAGGCGACGAUCUGUAGCGGGUCUGAGAGGAUGAUCCGCCACACUGGGACUGAGACACGGCCCAGACUGCUACGGGAGGCAGCAGUGGGGAAUAUUGGACAAUGGGGGGAACCCUGAUCUAGCCAUGCCGCGUGUGUGAAGAAGGCCUUAUGGUUGUAAAGCACUUUAAGCGAGGAGGAGGCUCUUUUGGUUAAUACCCAAGAUGAGUGGACGUUACUCGCAGAAUAAGCACCGGCUAACUCUGUGCCAGCAGCCGCUGUAA